GCCUGGGUGGCUCAGUCAGUUGAGCGUCUGACUUCGGCUCAGGUCAUGAUCUCACAGUUCGUGGGUUCGAGCCCCGUGUCGGGCU
rnacentral:tRNA from 1 species